CUCCAUUAGGCUUUGGGAUGCCUUAUGGGACAGGAGGGCCAGGGAAGGAGGGAAAAGCCAGAAGGAGAUGACUUGGCCACAUUUCCAUAGCUAGGAAAUAAUUUCUUUCGACCUCAGUUGUCUCAUUUAAAAUGACAAGAAUUGGACUAUAUCAUCCCUAAGUUCCCUUCCAAGUCAAGAUUUCUGUGAAAUGAGGCAAGUCAUUGAGGAUGACGACAUUUGGAAGUCAAAUUUAGAGCAUUCCUUUCGCCUGACAUAAUCUGUAUGCAAAGAACUCACUUCAGCAGAAGGCUGAGUAAAAUUGCAUUUUCUGCCUUUGUUUGGAUGGUUGAUUACAAGAGAACAUCAGCACUGGUGAAAAGAAGAGAGGUCCUGUCGGAGAGCUACUGAACCAUCUGAGAGAAGACAAGGAGUAAAUGAAAUGCAGUGAAAUGCAGAGGUGGGGGGAAUCCACUCCAGUAAUUCUUUGGCACAAUGAAUGACUCUCAGGGAAGGAUGAAGAGGAGGGAUAUAAAAGGAAAUCUGGGCAAUGUAAAAGCAAAAGAUAUCAAUACAAAUCUAUUUAAAUAAAUAGAAAAAU